rnacentral:lncRNA from 1 species
UGCAUGUCUUUGGUUGCCUCUCAUGCAUGUUUGCCAUCCCCUUAAAGCAACGGCUCCCCCUGCUUGCGCGCCCCGGCCGGGCCUUCGUUGGUACCACUCGAUCCCAUAAGAGGUCGCUAUCUCAUCUCAAGCUUUCUUGUCCGUAAUGCUGUCAUCUACUUGCUGCUGAGCUUCACAUCAUCCCUUGGCCCAUAAUCACCAGCAUGUUCUCUCUGGUAAGUAUUCAUGCAUAACUAUUCCUCCCUUCUUUUGCCACGUCAUUAACUAACCUAGUUAAUAUAUAUCGCAUGGUUGCUCUUUUAAUAAAUUUUACCUGAUGGCUCGAGAUAUAUGCAACCAGGCUAGAGACCUAGCAAGAUUAUCUUUGUAGAUAUAUCCUUCUGAAGAAAAUGAUAUGCUUUGCUUUUAAAUUCAUUUCUUACCUUAAUUAAUUUGUAUGCAACUAUCUGAAUGUAAUCUUAUGAAAGUAGAGUUAUUGUUUUCCCUGAUUGAUAGAGCUAUACCUUGCUCCUUCUCAAGGGAAGUUUUAUGAGUAGCUAGCUAGUUGGAUGGCAGAUUAUCCAAACCUGUCAUAAACUCAUAAUGUUACCGCUCCAUGCUAAUAUGUAGCAUGGAUAAUUUUCACCCAUCGUCGUUUUCAAGUUUGUUGAAGUGAUUCACACAUGACAUGUGUUUAUUAUGUAUGAUGUCAAGUUAAGUUGGGGUUUUUCCUCUUUAGCAUACUGAUCUAACAUGAUAAUCACUGUUUUUGAACUAAGCUGUUUCUUUCCAAUCAAAUUUGUAAAUAUUAUUGUUCUGCUCUAGAACUGUCCGUUCCCUGUGACUAUAUGACGUGUGUUGUAGUGAGUUAUGUGUUAUCUACUUCAGUACUUGUUUUCGGUAUCAUUUCUGUGCUAGUAGCGAGAAUCUUGACAGAGACCAACAUUCCUCACUGAUUCCAUGAGUUAUUCCAGGACUCUGCCUGGGAGAAUGCCUGAUUGUAUUUCCUUGUUGAUGUAGGUACUCUCAUAGUAUAGUAGAACAUAACCCGCGUUGAACUUGAUAAAACAAUGCAAAGAACAUGUUAGACUAAAAUUCCUGGUUCAUCAUUAAGAAAUAACUGAACAUGCAUCCAGAGACCUAGGUAACUUUCUAGGUGAUACGCCUGAGCUGCAUAUAAUCCGAAGUUGGUUUUUGUCUAUCCCAUAGCCCUUUGUUUACAUGAAAGAAAGAAUUAGCAGAUGAUGAGCUGAAUGCAUACUCACAUGCAUCCAUACAGAGAAGAAUGAUGGCCCAUCCUUUGGACCACAGAGGUAGAACGAUUAGUCAUCCUUAUUUAGAUUAAGUAAGUGUCACACACAGUAUUUAGAUCUUUUCUUGUUUAUUUCAAUGUAAUUUAAUGUUCUUCUGUGAUCUACUUGUUCUUGAUAAUCUCUAUACUAAAUUAGCUGGUAGAUUUUAAAAUUGUUACUGUACUUGUAUCGAGAAAAAGCAUGGAAGUACUAGAAACAUUUAAGGCCACGAGUAUAUAUAAACAUCUUCUUAGAAUCAUAACAAGGUCAAGUUCUUUUUUUUUGCGGGGUGAUAACAAGGUGAAGUUGAUCUGCUGAACUUUUUUGUUCUAUGACACGUGGUUUAUAGCAAGAAAAUCCUAUAGGAUAUGUUUUAUCUAUAAGACAGUCCUUGUGUAAGCCAGUUAAUUCUUCACUACUCUGUUGUACACAUGGUCUCAGCAGGAAAUAGACAUUUUGGUAGUGCAAAUGGCAUGACAGUAGAGCAUUAGACACUGGUGUAGAUGAGACAAUUCGUUUUUUUUGGGUUUCAUAAAACAUAUGUACAUUAUAUGCAUUAUAUUAUAUAUAUGAUAUGAUUUAAGAAUUUUGAGUUAGCAAAAUUGUCACGAAACUAUUUCUCUUCAGGUAAAAUGCCAUGUAAAAAAGAAUAUAAAUGAGCAUUGAUGUUUGUGCAUACUGGUACAGGCAUGGUUGUCAAGUUCAUUGAAAAACCAACAGCUUAUACAAUCGCAUCACCUUCUACAAAUCAUACUUGAUGAAGUUUCUAUGUUCUCCAUGCUCUUAUUUCGUAUAUGUAGCAACACGGUGAUCAUUAUAUUUAGUACAACGCACUGAAACACGUAAGCAGCGUACAGUACUACACACAUCAUAUUACAGUCUUAUAUUUACAUGGUACUAUGUAAAUCAAAUUACUUAUCUGUCCAAUAAUUGAUAUCACAUGAUGAUCAUCAUCAUCCUUAUUAUUAUAGCUCCUUAAGAUAAUAAUUAUGUAUGAGAUACUAUAUUUGAUUAAGGGCAUCGUCACUUCCAUGGAUCAACUUGACUGCUUGAUGUCGAGGUGGACGCAUAAUCAGUUGCCCCCUCUUGCUUCUCGUUGAGCUGAAGAAUGCCUCCAUCAGUAUAAUCUACACCCUUGGUCGCAUCAUUACUAAGCUGGGAUGCAACAAACUUGUCCAGGACUCUCCAGUCAGUAGUGGAUUGGUCGACAGCUGCAUGAUCGAUAAGUUGAACAUGGUGGUGGGCAUUGACUUGGUGAUCAUCGGGCGAUACCAAAAGAGAAUGGAAGGAAGAUGUCUCUAGGUCAUGAGGAAUAAUGGUGCUGAGGACAUCGUGAUGAUGAUGGUUUGGCAUUUGGAAUUGUAGCUUCAGUUCCCUCUUGUAGGUGUUGUUGAGCAUCUGGAGGUGUUGUUCUUGCAGCGCCGCCAUGCUGUGGUGAGGGGGCAUUAUUCCGUUCAUCGUCGGAGCGUUGAGGUCAUGCAUGAAGGGCCCAUCGUCAUCGACAUACCAGCAGGGUGCAUCAUGGUCCAGAUCCCUUCUUGUUGCCGGUAAUCUCUUCUUGAACACCCUGCAUACUACCCAACCUUCUUCCUGAAAUUAAUCAAUAUACAUGGUCAAUCGAUCAGGUUAGCUGGAGGGCUACUUAAUUUAAACACCGACAAACAACAUUUGGGAGUUGAGACAAGACGUAGAUGUAUAAAUUGGAGUAUAGCUUAAAAAUUGCUUGCCUGUGGAGGGCCAUUCUCGUUGGUCUCGAGGCGGUACUCGUGCAUGAUCCAGUCGGACUUGUGGCCAUUGGGAGCCCUGCCUUUGUAGUAGACGAGGGUCUUCCUCAUGCCAACCAAGCAGUGCUUUGCAUAGAUGGGCUUGUCUCUCCCCGUCGCCUUCCAGAACCCCGCCGCGGUUGCCCGGUUUGUCCGAGUCCCUGUUGGGUAUUUCUUGUCCUUGUGGCUGAAGAAGUACCAAUCGCUCUGCUCCUCCUCAGGACCUAUCCUACAUUUCUCUGCAUAUAGGAAUGAAUGAAGGAAUGUAC